AUUGAACGCUGUCGGCAGGCCUAACACAUGCAAGUCGAACGAGUGGCGGACGGGUGAGUCAUGUCUGGGAAACUGCCUGAUGGAGGGGGAUAACUACUGGAAACGGUAGCCAAUACCGCAUACCAUCAGAUGUGCCCAGAUGGGAUGAGCUAGUUGGUGGGGAAACGGCCCACCAAGGCGACGAUCCCUAGCUGGUCUGAGAGGAUGACCAGCCACACUGGAACUGAGACACGGGCCAGACUCCUACGUGAGGCAGCAGUGGGGAAUAUUGCACAAUGGGCGCAAGCCUGAUGCAGCCAUGCCGCAGGUAUGAAGAAGUCCUUCGGGUUGUAAAGUAAUUACAGCGGGGAGGCGUUACCCGCAGAGGAAGCACUGGCUAACUCCUUGCCAGCAGCCGCGGUAAUU
rnacentral:rRNA from 1 species